rnacentral:lncRNA from 1 species
AUGAUUUGUGUAAGAGCAGCAGGACAGGCUAUGUACAAAGGUAAGACAAUUCAUCUAACAAAGAGGCCGUGGAGAGAGUUAUCAAGGAAGACAGCCUUCAAUAAUUACUUUACCAUCACUCUUUUCCAGAAAGGGGUGGAAUUAUCAGGAUGGAAUCAAGGAUGCUUCCAAACAGAGGGAAUAUCUCAAGCUAUGACUCAGAGAGUUUUCCCCACAUCGUUAAUGGUAUGGGAAUUAGGAGCAGGUCAUGUGACUCACAUGGCUCACCAUAUAAUUCCUUCUGGAGAGCAGAUGAGAUGACAGAAGAAAACAGCAAGACAGAAUACAAUCAAAGACUACAACAAGAUUUCAAGCUUGAAUGAUUGGACGCAGAAUACCAGGAGAAAAAAACAAGAUUUGGAAAAAAAAAGAAAGAAAAGAUUAUCUUUUGGAUACAUGGAAUUUGAUCUCUAAUGGGUGAUUCAGUUAGAAACUAGAAUAUAACCAGAGCUCCAAAUAUCUAGCACAGGACAAGAGAUAGAAACAAGGAGCCAUAGUCAUCUUGAUGAUGAUAGUAGAAAGCAUAUUACUGGAUUAAAUCCUUAGCAUGAAAGCAUAGCAGAAGAGAAAGGGGUGGUGAGAAACUUAACCUAUUGUAAUUGUAUGUCAGGAAAGAGACUGAAGUAAUUAAAAGAAGUUUUGAAAUACUUCAAUAGAAAAAUAAAUAGUUCCCUCAGAACUACAGAUCCUCAAUACCAGACUGCCUUUUGUCAAAAAAAAAAUCAAUUGUUUAAACAUGCUGAAAAUAAUUUGAAGUACUGAUGCAAAAUAUCAUUGACUAGAAUUACAUUUUAUUUAUUGCAGUGAUUCAAUUAAGAUGCUAUAAAUUCAGAAUAUUGCUAAUAGGAUUUGUAAAUUAUUAGGCUAUUCAACCACUCUGGUCAAAGAGGCUUAGGGGAGGAAAGAGAUUUAUAAUUUCAUGGUUCAAUGACAUAAUGAGCACAAUUAACUUAAUUAGUUAUUAUUAAAAUAACACUUUAUGCUGGAAACAGUAGUGAUCCUUUGGGGGCAUGGGACUUUUCAAUUUUACCUAAAAUGUUUUCAUAAAUUAAAUAUUUCACAAUCUUUAAGUUAAGAAUUAAUGCAAGCUUCUCUCUUAAGUGUGAUUGAACUUUAAAAAAUACUGCCUUUAGAAUAUUGUUCUAAAAAGACAUAAAACUAAAUCACAUAGAGAUGGCUGUAUAAAAAUGAAUGCAUUAAAAAAGUGUUUGAGACACAUUUCACUUAUCUCUGAAUACUAAGUAAAAGAGAAGUGAGGUGGUUUGACAUUCCUAUUUGACUUACAUAAAUGUCUUUUUAAAGAGGAAAAUGUGCCCUCCCUAGGAGACACAACCAAAUGCUAGGUGGAGCAGCUUGUCAUGGAAUAUAACUUGGUGAGGGCUGCAUGACUUACAACCUUCAAAUAUUUAAGCUAACAAUGAAUGGUGUAAAAUUCACAAGUGAAUGAAGUAAGAAACAGAAUAAAUAAUAGUUACGUUUCCAUUUUAACUUGAGAAUGUUUUGCUAUAUCCUUUUUGACAUAUAUAAAUUGAACCCAUGCUGUGUAUUUUGUAACUCCCAGAAAUACAAUUCAAGACUGAUACGAUCUAUUUAAGGCUGACAAACCUAUAUAAUUAGCUUAAAAUCAAGAAAGGUCUUGUGAUGCAAAUUAAGCUCCUUCAGUAUUGCCUUGGCGAGUCAUAGAACUGAUCUAAUUGUCUCUCUGCAUUUUGGGGAAUACUAAAUGAUCAAGGGCAUGUUUCAAGAGUGAUAGGCAAUGGUUUGUCUUUUCUGCUAAGGUCCUACAAUAACGUGAGAAUGUUCAUUACACAGAUAAGCAGCUAUAAACUUCCCUUUAUUAUAAUGAGAUUAAUUCAAUUUUAUUUUGAACCUUAAAGCCCUCAGAGACUCAGGAUUCAUGUGCCUGCAUGAACAUGGCCCAAUCUAUUGUCAAACCAGAAUACUAGAACCGAAAACAUCUCCAAUAUAGAAACGUACGGACUUCCCAACUUGUUCACUUGCUAUGGAAGCAAGAUAUAGUUCUGACGUUUGCAAAAAUAAAAGAAAACUGAAUGAUUCUUCUUAAAACUUGUUUUCCUCUUCUUUCCAUCUUUUAUUUAAAUCCUUUUCAUCCUUUAAUUCUAGUGACCACAUCAGAGGUAUUGUAAAUCCACCAUCCUUUACUGUGUAUAUUUCAUCAAAGAGACAUUGCAACAGAAUCUGCCGAUUUCACAGAUAAAAUGCAAAGGUCUUUCAGGCAAAAAUAUAAGGCUAAUUCAGUGAAAUUUAUGAAGUUUUUAUGUUUCUAACAUUAUAUAAAAUGUUACAUAAUGUAGGAUACAUGUUCCUAAAAUAAUACAUUACACAUUGCAUUUCUAUAGCAAGACACAUUAAUUGCCUGGAAGUUGAAGUACAAUUGUCCAAGAGACAUAACUUUUAUUGCUCAGAAAAAUAAACAAUUACAGGGAAGUUAUUUACUUAAGGCCAAGUUCAGGAAGAAUAUGGCAGGAAAUUGUCUAAAAGCAUAAGACUGUUUAAUAAUACUUUUAAUUUUAUUUGUGUCUUAAAUAUUUAAAUUGAAUUGCUCUAGUAUGACAUUGCUUUGAAUUUUAUUAAACAUAUGUAAAGUGCAGUGGUUUUCUUUGUUUCAAAAUUCAUAAUUUUUCAUCUGCUCUCCACUUAUGGUAGAAAAAAACUCCACAGUGAUUGCACUGCAGCUUUUCAAGAAAAAAAUGAAACAUACUAUUUCUUUAUAGUUUUAGUUUUCUGAAAAUGUCUUCUUUUAAGAUAUGCAGCUGAAAUCAUAAGGCCAUAUGAAUAUUUGGCAAUGAUCUCAUAAGUCUGCUUGAUAUGAUCACAAGAAGAUAAACUUGACUUCAAAGAAAAUUAUUUAGCAAAACUGUCUCUUUUUUAUAAGCAUGUUGGUAAUUGUCUCAUACACCCUCU